UGAGUCUAUGCAAAAACUCUACCCUAUCUCUCGGAUUCAAUCUGAGUGGCCAAAGUUUAGGUCCGAGUUCUCUCCUCCCUUUAGGGUUCACUUAGGGGCUGUUUGGUUCUGUUUGCUUAUUUUUAGCACGUGUCACAUCGAAUGUUUAGAUACUAAUUAGAAGUAUUAAACAUAGACUAUUUACAAAACCCAUUACAUAAGUGGAGGCUAAACGGCGAGACGAAUCUAUUAAGCCUAAUUAAGCCUAAUUAAUCCAUCAUUAGCAAAUAUUUACUGUAGCAACACAUUGUCAAAUUAUGGACUAAUUAGGCUUAAUAGAUUCGUCUCGCCGUUUAGCCUCCGCUUAUGUAGUGGGUUUUGUAAAUAGUCUACGUUUAAUACUUCUAAUUAGUAUCUAAACAUCGAUGUGACGGGUGCUUAAAAAUAAGCAGGUAAACCAAACCAGGCCUUAGGCUUAAUUGAAUAUAAUCUAAUUAAAAAGUGGAUACGGGAUGAUAAAAAAUCAUUAACACGUACUAGUUGCUUUUUAUCUUUCAAAUAGCAGAAGACUACGUAGCACAACUGCCCAAACAGCUGAUGUUGCUGUUUUCUCCUACUUGCGCAUCAGCGCAUGGUGCACAGCUACAACCACGCAUGAUAG
rnacentral:lncRNA from 1 species